rnacentral:precursor_RNA from 2 species
GAACUUAACCACCAGAAAUUAGUCUACCAAGACGAAGAUGACGGAAGGCCAUGAGACAAUUCACUGGUACUCAAACACAACCAUGGAACAACAUCAACUGGCACUACACAUAAGUUGAUCGCUUGGUCUCGGUGCAUAUGUACACAUCCAACCGAGUCUGGGAUAGAGUUAUAGGAAAUGGAGAGCACUUACCAGUGAGCGAGAUGGAAGAUAUAUAUCGAUGCAUGGUGAUGGUGGAUGGAGCACGGACGGCUGGCUGCACGGCCAAACAUCGUCCUACCUGCAGAAGCUUCACGCUGGCAGUGUCGCCCGCCGAUUUGUGCCGAAGCCGAAGAACUAAACAGUUGAGUUGGGGGGAAUGAAGCCUGGUCCGAAACCCCCCACCUAGCUUGCUUAGCUGCAGCUGAAUCCGCCAUUCCGCCCGGUGUUAGGUCUCGGACCAGACAACAUUCCCCUCAACUGCCAUAAAAAUGAAUGAAUGAGAGGGAGACAGAGAGAUAUAUAUAGAGAGAUUUUCAUGUAUAAGCUAGGAGCUUGUAUAUAUAUGGAGGGGCAGCUUGUUAGCUCACGGCAGAUGACUCUGCUUUGAGCAGCUUU